UGGGAAUAUGAAAAUGGAAAUUUGAACAAA
rnacentral:piRNA from 1 species